UACGUAGGGGGCUAGCGUUGUCCGGAAUCAUUGGGCGUAAAGCGCGUGUAGGCGGUCCGGUAAGUCCGCUGUGAAAGUCGGGGGCUCAACCCUCGGAUGCCGGUGGAUACUGUCGGGCUUGAGUACGGAAGAGGCGAGUGGAAUUCCUGGUGUAGCGGUGAAAUGCGCAGAUAUCAGGAGGAACACCAAGUGCGAAGGCAGCUCGCUGGGACGUUACUGACGCUGAGACGCGAAAGCGUGGGGAGCAAACAGG
rnacentral:rRNA from 1 species